UUUCCGUAGGUGAACCUGCGGAAGGAUCAUUACUGAGUGAGGGCCCUAUGGGUCCCACCUCCCACCCGUGUUUAUUAUACCUUGUUGCUUCGGUGAGCCCGACUCACGGCCGCCGGGGGGCAUCUGCCCCCGGGCCCGCGCCCACCGAAGACACCUAGAACUCUGUAUGAAGAUUGCAGUCUGAGCAAAAACUAAAUAAGUUAAAACUUUCAACAACGGAUCUCUUGGUUCCGACAUCGAUGAAGAACGCAGC
rnacentral:misc_RNA from 1 species